GGCUGGUAGCAGAGGGAUGGUAGGUUUUUUCCAGUGUGAAAUGGAGAAGACAGAUCCUGGGAUUCCUGCUGAUCCAGACAGAAGGGCAAAGUGGCUUUCAGCAAUUAACAGGCAAAAUAACAGAUCAAAGUACCUCGAAGAAAGACUGGACUCCAAGUAAUACACACAUUUUUGUGGUGAGCACUUCAUAGAAGGGGAGAAGUCUGAUGAUCCCCUGUCCCCUGACUGUUCCUUCUAUCUUCAAACACAUAUGGUCGCCAGUGAAGAACAGGAGGACAGGAAACAUGGAGAGGUUUGAGGGUAGGCAGGAAAUGAAGAGGAAGAGGCAAGAGAAAGAGGAGAGUAGCAGUGGAAGGUCUCCUAGAUCUGUCAGCUGGACAGCAGGAGUUGCAGGAUCCCGUGCCUCCUGUGCCAGAAGCAGAGGCCCCAGUGUGUGAAAGUGAACUUUCUAAAGACUGGAUAUAGUCUCUACAAAGUGAGUGUCAGUCCUUGAGGAGAAAAUAAUUAUCUUUUAAAAUGCAUAAUUAAGUCAUUUUCAUUUGAUGAAAUGUCCUUUUUAAAGGUAAUGAUGAGAGGGUGAAGAAAAUGACUGGACUACCUUUAUUUCAGAAAUGAAUUGCUGUCUUCUGUUGUAUUAGUUGCAAUUUCUUUGUUUUAGCAAUUCAUUUUGACAGUUAAGACUGAAAAUGAACAUUCCAUUUGCAUUG